rnacentral:rRNA from 1 species
GGAUGCUUUGGACGUAAGUUUCGGCCUCGCUGUUUGCAUGUUUGUGCGCUUUGGGUGUACUUUUUCGUAUGGUUGGCCAACAUCAGUUUCGAUUACUAUAAAAUGACUGGCGGAAUGUAGCUUCGAUUUCGGUUGAAGUGUUAUAGCCUCCGGUAGAUGUGGUGAUUGAGACUGAGGAUUGCAACGAAUAUCCUUUGGGCUAUCCGUCUGGCCUCUGAAAGUUGCUUGGGUGCUGAAAGCUUGCUUAUGGUUAUCUAAGUUAACGGUCAAUAGGUUAGAACGUGAUUACAUUCGUUAAGGAUGGUUGACGUAAUAA